GACGAACGCUGGCGGCGUGCUUAACACAUGCAAGUCGAGCGGUAAGGCCCUUUCGGGGGUACACGAGCGGCGAACGGGUGAGUAACACGUGGGUGACCUGCCCUCAGCUCUGGGAUAGGCCUGGGAAACUGGGUCUAAUACUGGAUAUGACUCCACGGUGCAUGUCGUGGGGUGGAAAGCCUUGUGCGGCUGAGGAUGGGCCCGCGGCCUAUCAGCUUGUUGGUGGGGNGAUGGCCUACCAAGGCGACGACGGGUAGCUGGUCUGAGAGGACGACCAGCCACACUGGGACUGAGACACGGCCCAGACUCCUACGGGAGGCAGCAGUGGGGAAUCUUGCGCAAUGGGCGAAAGCCUGACGCAGCAACGCCGCGUGCGGGACGAAGGCC
rnacentral:rRNA from 1 species